rnacentral:rRNA from 1 species
AGCUCCAAUAGCGUAUAUUAAAGUUGUUGCGGUUAAAAAGCUCGUAGUUGGAUUUCUGUUGAGGUCGACCGGUGCGCACUCCGUGUGUUAUUUGGUUCGGUCUCGGCAUCCUCGUGGGGAACGUUUCUGGACUUUAUUGGACAGGGCGAGAUUCACGACUUUUACUUUGAGGAAAUUAGAGUGUUCACGGCAGGCAAGUGCUUUGAAUACAUUAGCAUGGAAUAAUAAUAUAGGACCUUCGUUCUAUUUUGUUGGUUUCUAGAACUUAGGUAAUGAUUAAUAGGGACAAUUGGGGGCAUUCGUAUUAACGCGUCAGAGGUGGAAUUCUUGGAUUGCGUUACGACGAACUACUGCGAAAGCAUUUGCCAAAGAUGUUUUCA